AGGGCUGCUGUGUGGUAAAUGAGAUCAGAGAACUAAGCUGGCUGGAAAAUGGCUUUUUUUCCCCUUUUCUCUUUUUCUUCCCUUUCAAAUGGGUGAGUUUUCAGCCAGAUCAGCUUCCCAGGCCAGUUCAUGGUGCAGCUGCGUGUUGGCUUGUGAUGACAUGACCUGAAGACAGCACAAAAUGGACUGAAAGCACAGAUGGGAGGGACUCCUUUCAAAGGGAAGUGCUUAUCAGACUACAGCCUGAGUGAGCUCUGAAGCUUCUCUUUCCUAACUGCUAACAAAAGCUCUGUUAGGCACUAUCCUCCUCAGCUGCCAUGAGGCUUUGCACUGGGGCAUGUCUGCUCUUCUUCUGAACAUCUGUCUUUGGAUGCCAGCGUCCCCUCCUCACUGGAUGUGUUCAAGAGAAGCAGAUGUGAUAGAGAAGACAAACAGGAGGAUGGACACCGAAAAGCUGGGUGAGACCCACUGCAACCUCCUGCACCCAAAAUGCAUCCUUGAAUAGUGUGCAUCAAUGUGUGGUCCCUGCAGAGAUGUCCAGCUUUGCAAAGCCGGUAUCUGAGCAGCACACAGACCAAACGUGACACAAAGGUAAACACAGAGAUGUCAAACUGCAGUGUCAGAGCCAAAUUACUGCAAAAUGGGGUAUUUUGGGAUUUUUUUUUAUUUAUUUUUUUUUUUGGUUGGGUCGGUUUUGUGUUUGGUUGGGGAUUUUUUUGUGAGGGGGCUGUUGGUUGGUUGGUUUGUUUAUCUUAAUAGUGAAAAGAAGAAACAACCUCAGUUGCUGAGGCCUCAUGGCAUCAGGCUGAAUAACAGGACAAGGUGGGCUGAAUGGGGCAAACGUCUGUAAAUCUUUUUAUAGGAAUGCUGUGUGUCUGUCUGUGAAUGCUCUCCUAGCUACACUGGAAGAAAACUGAUAAAUCCUAAUGGAUAGUGUGAGAAAUUACAUUACUCUUCCCUGGGUGCGAGAGCAUGAUUUCCUCCCAGGCAAUACAUUUUACAGGAAUCUUUUCGACCCCUAGGCUGAAGGACAUUUUUCAGCAAGCUGCUUCCUUUGUGCAUUUCCCAGUGCACAGCUGACAUGAACAGACAUGGCACGUCACAGCCUGGAACGAUUUCCAGUCUCGGUUCAGCACUCCAAGAAAAGCAGCCUACUUCAGCUGAAAGAAUAAAAGAGUCUCCUCUCGAAACACCGACCAUAAUGUGAGCAGCCAUUGAGAAACUGCAUGUGGGAGCUGUAAUCCAAACAAAGAUCAGUCCUACAGAAAAACACAACCACAGAACAGGAAAGGCUCAUUUCAAGGUCAUUACCCGAAAUGGUUGUUGUUGGUAUGAGAGAGAAUCAUGAUAUUUAGGAAUGUCCACUGGAAUGUGAAACACUCUUCAGUUCUGGGAAAAAAUGUAUUUAUUUUGCUGAUUGAUGCAAUAAUCAGUGCUUUGAGUAACUAAUGAAUGGUGGUUCCUUCCAUUUAAAAGGAACAUUUGGAGGCCAUAUUUCUUAAGCUGAGAUACCCUUAAGGGAAUCUGAAACUAUGGGCCUUUUGGGGGGCUUUGCACUUGCCUUAGGGCCACAACUCUGAUUUCUCAUUAUUGGAUUAUGUCACAUUUGGAGUGAAGUAGAGGCAACUCUGCUCAUUUCAAAGAGCCUGUUAAAAAAGAUUGUAAAAGUAACUGCGCUGGGGGCAAUACCUGCAGAGUAGUUAUUAUUUAGGAUUACGCAGGAUCUGCAAAGGAAUAUCUUUACAUUCCAAAUUUACUCGGAUCCGAUCAGGACUCAAACCAUUCUGGCACAUAGUUAAGAAACACAGAUAAACUGCAAAUUCUGCCUGCACAGACUCACCUGUGCUGUGUCUCCUGAUAUCUUGGAGAUAUUCUUUGAGCCUGAAACUCCCCACUUCCCUGCUUGCCUUUAUGUCUCUAGGGCUUGAGCUGCUGAAGUCAGUGGAAGCUUUGCUCCUGAUUACAGCAGGACAUGUCUGGGCUCAGCCUGAGCAUCGAUGGAGUUGAAACAGCAGCUUUUUCUUCUGCGUCUUUAUCUACACCUUUGGACUGUGGUUUAACUGUGCCAGUUUCACCCAAAACCCUCACUUACCUCCUGCUUUGCUGCUUGCUGCCACCUUUGCUCCCUUUGGGAUUCCAGUCUUUACUUGAGUCCUAUCUUAUCUAUUUUUGACUCCAGGUAAGAACAGCAGUGCUGCUUUAGACCAUCUAACCCAUCCAUCUACUCUGCCUCCAGCAGUGGCCAUAAGCAGACUCCUAAGAAAAAUAAAGAACAGACUAACAUAUUGAUUAUUUCUCCAUUAUUACCACAGCUUCCAGCUAUCUUCAGCUCAGAGGAUUUCCCAAAACUGCUGUGGUUUGCCUGUGGCAUGGACCCAUCCAAAUACUUGGGAGAGCAUGUCAGCUCCUUGCAAUCGCAGCAUGUUUUGGAAAGGACAUUCUUGGCAGAUCCACUGCCUGCUGCAUAACAAACUUCUUCCUUGUGUUUCCUUUGAACUUGGCUCCUAUCAGCUUCAUUAGCUGGCCUGUCAUUGUCCUGGAGACACAAUCAACACUUGAUCCCUAUCCACUCUCUUUGUGUUACUAAUGAUUUCAUAGAUUUCCAUGUACCCCAUCUCUUUUCCAGCUUGAGAAGCGCCUCUCUCCUGCACUGAUCCUUGUACAGAAGUUGUGUCAUACCUUUACUGAUCCUUUACUCUGAAC